AUGCGUUUACUUAUUUUUGAUAUAUCACAUACUCAAUUUGUAAUCUUGUUUACAUAUCCCAUUUUGCACUUAUAUAUUUGCCUAAAUAAUAUCCUCUGGAUAGAUUCAUUUUUGAGAAUUACGAAGGUCAAAAUCCCUGUAAUAUUCACAUUUCGACGACCACAUUUUAGUUUUUCUUUCAGAAUACUCGUUUCUUUCACAAGGCUCUUAAAGAGAGACAUAGAAGAAAUUUUAUUAGCACGGAGGAGUCUGAAAGGGGGAUUGUCCAAGGAGUGGAGGAGGUGA